AGCAGCCGCGGUAAUUCCAGCUCCAAUAGCGUAUAUUAAAGUUGUUGCAGUUAAAAAGCUCGUAGUUGAAUUUCGGGAUCAGUUGAUCGGUCGUGCCUCGGUACGUACUGGUCAAAUUGAUUCCUACCUUCUGACGAACCACGGUGUCAUUAAUUUGGUGUCGUGGGAAAUCAGGACUGUUACUUUGAAAAAAUUAGAGUGUUUAAAGCAGGCUCGCGCUUGAAUACAUUAGCAUGGAAUAAUGAAAUAGGACGUUUGAUUCUAUUUUGUUGGUUUCUAGGAUCGACGUAAUGAUUAAUAGGGAUAGUUGGGGGCAUUAGUAUUCAAUUGUCAGAGGUGAAAUUCUUGGAUUUAUUGAAGACUAACUACUGCGAAAGCAUUUGCCAAGGAUGUUUUCAUUAAUCAAGAACGAAAGUUAGGGGAUCGAAGACGAUCAGAUACCGUCGUAGUCUUAACCAUAAACUAUGCCGACUAGGGAUCGGAUGAUGUUAAUUUUUAAUGACUCAUUCGGCGCCUUACG
rnacentral:rRNA from 1 species